CUUGGAUAUUAAAGAAUUUCGGUUAUCGGAUGGGGAUGCGUUCCAUUAGUUAGUUGGCGGGGUAACGGCCCACCAAGACGACGAUGGAUAGGGGUUCUGAGAGGAAGGUCCCCCACAUUGGAACUGAGACACGGUCCAAACUCCUACGGAAGGCAGCAG
rnacentral:rRNA from 1 species